rnacentral:rRNA from 1 species
AGUGAACGCUGGCGGCAGGCCUAACACAUGCAAGUCGAACGGCAGCACAGGGGAGCUUGCUCCCUGGUGGCGAGUGGCGGACGGGUGAGGAACACAUCGGAAUCUACCCAGUCGUGGGGGAUAAGCGUAGGGAAACUUACGCUAAUACCGCAUACGACCUGAGGGUGAAAGCAGGGACCGCAAGGCCUUGCGCGAUUGGAUGAGCCGAUGUCGGAUUAGCUAGUUGGUGGGGUAAAGGCCCACCAAGGCGACGAUCCGUAGCUGGUCUGAGAGGAUGAUCAGCCACACUGGAACUGAGACACGGUCCAGACUCCUACGGGAGGCAGCAGUGGGGUAUAUUGGACAAUGGGCGCAAGCCUGAUCCAGCCAUGCCGCGUGUGUGAAGAAGGCCUCGGUUGUAA